GAAAGAGAACGUUUACUUCCGAUAAUGUGACACUUUUCCCUUCAGGGAAAAAGCCUCCUUUUGCCUGAUAGAUUUCCAGUCGUGUGUGGAGGAAAAACUGUGAAUUACUCAAAUAAGUUCAGCGGCGUAACAUAAUAUCAGAGAAUACGAUCCUUCUCUAAACAGAUUGUGGCCGUGGUGGACGUCGGAUUGAGGACGACGCCAUCUUGGGGGUUUUUUUGCAACGGAAGAAACCUCAGAUCCUUCAGGUUGGCGGACAAUCAAGGAAAAGUCGGAUCCGACUGCAAGGAGUAAUUAUUACAGAAGAAGGAAACAAAGGGUGCUGGCAGAGCAGCGGAGCUUUUCAUUACUUCAGAUGAGCUACUUUAACGUUGGGACGGAUCGGCCCUCGGCCCUCCAUCUCGCCGACCAGAUGUGGACCUCUUUUGUGUUGCUCUGCUUCUGCUUUCAAAGCUUUCAUCGCAGAGAGAAAGUCAGAAGGAGAAGAGCAAACGUGCAUUUCUGCCGACCGAUUAUGACGAGCCUACAAUUAGCUAUGUGGAAAAUGUCGCCUUAUAACAUUUCUCCAUUAAUCAUCAUUAUGGAAGAGCAGCUAACCGGAAAAACUUUCAUUUCUAGCGGACUGAGGCUUGGGGAUGUAUUCUCCAUCCAGUCCACGGGCAUCCCAUUAGUCAGCCGUGUGGAUGCCAAAAUAAAAAAGAAGAAGGAGAAGAAGAAGAAGAAGAAGAAGAAGAAGAAGAAGAAGAAGAAGAAAAAGCCACCUGAAUCUACAGAGAAUCCCACAGAGAAGAAGCCAGACGCGAGAGGCGUCGCUGAAGCUCGACAGACGACGGCGGAGGAGCCAAGCCGCCCAUCUCCCAGAUGGCUCAGUCCACAAGCAGGGGGGGUGUAGGCACAACUCUCCUAGAGGAGCGAUAUACGAGCUUAACACAGUCCAGUGAUGCUCAAUUUCAAGUUUCCUGAGACAUUUAAAGUUUCUUUUUAUUUCCACAUCUAUACUUGACGUUAGAAACACACAUGGACCAAGAAUAAAUAACUGUGUGUGUUCAUGAUAAAACAUUUAUAGUUCAAUAACUAGAACCGUUUCCCAGCAUGCUCUCUGCUUCGACCCCUUCAGUUGACUCACAUGACUGUAAUCGACAAUAAGGGGAGUGCGGCACCUCACCGGUUGGAAGAUGUGAGUUCGCCACAGUUAAUGAAAACCAUUUCGUACCAACAGCUGGACGUUUCUGCCAUCGAGGUCAUGAGAACUAAAAUUGUUCCAUCCGUCUUUCUAGGGAGAGAAAAAAGCUUCAGGUUGUUUUUGAUCGACAGUGAGCCCAAUCCUUCAUUGUGGGCUGCAGUUUUCAAGCAUUUUGACCGUCGCCAUCUUUGUUUGUUUUUUAA
ensembl:lncRNA